UCUUUGGCUUUGCUGCCUCUCUUCCCUUCCCAUUGUUUUUCCUCCCUCCUCCUAGGUUCUCCCAUCGUUUUCCUGUUUGCCUCUCCUGCAAUAUGGAUUUGACAUAUUAAUCAUUACAGCAACUGCUAAAAUUCCACUGUGCUUCAUUAAUCCAGAGGAAAAUACCAUAUCAGCUGGAACUUACUGUGUUUCUGUUUGAUUGAGCCUGGGCAUGAGAUAAAACACAAGGUCAUCUGCAAUGGCACUGGUGCUGUGGCUGUAUCAGCAUGGCUCUGGAUGUCCCUUCGGGGCAGGCAACUGUUCAGGGAGGACUUUCAAGCAAGCUCUGGAACUUGAAGUCUCAAGAGAUGACAAAUAGUCAAUUCUCAAAAAAUGAAGAAAAGAAAAACUUGUUUCUUCAUGUUUGCUAACCCUAUCUAGAUCUAUGGUUUUGGCCAAUAAAUUCACUGUGUUCAAAUCCUC
rnacentral:lncRNA from 1 species